rnacentral:rRNA from 1 species
UGGGGAAUAUUGCACAAUGGGCGAAAGCCUGAUGCAGCAACGCCGCGUGAGUGAUGAAGGUCUUCGGAUUGUAAAGCUCUGUCUUUUGGGACGAUAAUGACGGUACCAAAGGAGGAAGCCACGGCUAACUACGUGCCAGCAGCCGCGGUAAUACGUAGGUGGCGAGCGUUGUCCGGAUUUACUGGGCGUAAAGGGUGCGUAGGCGGAUGUUUAAGUGAGAUGUGAAAUACCCGGGCUUAACUUGGGUGCUGCAUUUCAAACUGGAUAUCUAGAGUGCAGGAGAGGAGAAUGGAAUUCCUAGUGUAGCGGUGAAAUGCGUAGAGAUUAGGAA